rnacentral:rRNA from 1 species
UGGGGAAUUUUGGACAAUGGGGGCAACCCUGAUCCAGCAAUGCCGCGUGAGUGAAGAAGGCCUUCGGGUUGUAAAGCUCUUUUGUCAGGGAAGAAACGGUAGUAGCGAAUAACUAUUACUAAUGACGGUACCUGAAGAAUAAGCACCGGCUAACUACGUGCCAGCAGCCGCGGUAAUACGUAGGGUGCAAGCGUUAAUCGGAAUUACUGGGCGUAAAGCGUGCGCAGGCGGUUGUGUAAGUCAGAUGUGAAAUCCCCGGGCUCAACCUGGGAAUUGCAUUUGAGACUGCACGGCUAGAGUGUGUCAGAGGGGGUAGAAUUCCACGUGUAGCAGUGAAAUGCGUAGAUAUGUGGAGGAAUACCGAUGGCGAAGGCAGCCCCCUGGGAUAACACUGACGCUCAUGCACGAAAGCGUGGGGAGCAAACAGGAUUAGAUACCCAAGUAGUCCCUGAGCGGGCUGGCAAGGCGCAU